rnacentral:rRNA from 1 species
UACGUAGGUGGCAAGCGUUGUCCGGAUUUAUUGGGCGUAAAGAGCGCGCAGGCGGUUCGUUAAGUCCGAGGUGAAAUCUCCCGGCUCAACUGGGAGGGGUCUUCGGAUACUGGCGGACUUGAGGAGUGCAGAGGUGAGUGGAAUUCUCGGUGUAGUGGUGAAAUGCGUAGAUAUCGAGAGGAACACCAGCGGCGAAGGCGGCUCACUGGGCACCACCUGACGCUGAGGCGCGAAAGCGUGGGGAGCGAACAGG